rnacentral:misc_RNA from 1 species
UUUUUUUUUUUUUCCUUUUCUUUUGCUGAUCUCUAAGCAGAGGAGUAACAAUCCUAUGUCAGAAGAAUGCCAAUUUCCAUCCUUGAAAAUGUUCUCUUCCUGAGUAUACUUUUCUUUGCCAAUUACAACGUGACGCACAGUCAUUAGGCAUGCAAGUUACCAUCUUAUAAUCAAUAACAGGAGAAAGGGAAAAAUAAAAAAAUAUAAAAAGAACUAAAUAACAAGGCCGAUGCUGAUUUAUGCCUCACUGAUUAUACAGGAGGAAUUUACCGUCAUUGUGUGUUGCGUGUUAACCCACCACGUGCCACAUGUCUGCACAAAUAGGAGGAUCUGUCAGCUUUUGAAAGACUAAUUCAGAAGGCAACUUAUUUGGUGAUGAUAAAGAAUAUGAGCCUAUGAAAUGUAUCAGAACAGAAAAGUUAAGCAGAAAAAUUCCCAAUGUUUUCAUGCUCUUAAAGCAUGUGCAUGAUCUAACAGAGCUAGGACCUAAAAUCUCCACCUUCAUCUUACUAGCUAGCAUAACGUUACAGGACUGGUAUCUCAUAAAGUAUAGUUUUGCCCCUAAAACAUUUCCACCAAUUUCCUUUUUCAACUAGUGGAACUUUUUGUGCUAUUUUUAUACGUGGACAUUAAUUACAAACUUGAAUUUAAGGUAAAUAAAAAUUCAGGUAAAAGCUUAUGGCUACCGGUAUACUGUAGCAAUGGAAUAUAAAUUCCUAAUAUUCAUAUUAUCAACCAGAAACACAAGAACACAAACCAGAAUGCAGUUGGCUGGUUGCCUUGUAGACAACUUAUUUUAUUUUCUCUCAUCACAAAUACUCUCAGCUGAAUUGCUGAUCUUCAGUGAUAAAGAAGAAGAUAACCUAAAUGAAUCAAUCAGAUCUUAAUUCAUUUUCUAGUUUCAAGACAACCUCAACCUCAAGGGGAGAGGUUGGGUAAACGGAAGCAGAGAUCAUAAACUAAAGCCUAGUUUCCUAAGUUUUCUAGCCAUGGCAUUGUUACAGGCAAGCAAAGAGAAACUAAACUCUUAAACACAUUCAGCUCAUUAGCUGGAAGUUUUGUCACUGCAGAAAGCUAAAGCAGCACCAAGCCUGUUCUACAGAAAAAGGCAAACAAUGUGCUAUCAGAAUGAUGAACCAGACACUCAUUCAGGGUAUAACUAAAUACAUCAUAAAAUAGUUAAGUUGGAGAACCAAUAAAACAGCAUAAACGGAAAGGAUCAAUUGUAUUUAUCAUCUCCUUGAUCCUUGUGAAGCAACUGCAACAUCAUGGGCUUUGCUUUUCUUUUGUGUUGGGAUCAAUUUUGUUCUUCCAGGUUCCAUGAAGGAUUUUCCUCAAGGACACCAUAGCAAAGCCAUUUCAAAGGUGAAGAUAAAGCCUUGGGGGAUGGUCUAGCAAUUGUGAAUUAUAUGGAGAAAACAAUAAAUGGAUUGUGUUGGAGGAAGGAAUUCUAUCCACAAAUUGAUGGAUAGGGUUGAAGAUUUUUCAGUGUCGGAUAGACAUAAUAUAAAGUACAAAAUUGUAUUAUACCAAGUAUUAGCAUAUACUUACUAUUAUAUACUAAGUAAGCAUAUAAUACUAUUAAUGUAAUAACUGCUAGUAAAAAUUUGAUAGCUUUGCUAUUUUUGUACCAUCUCCGCACAAAAGAUUGUGCCCCUAUUUUGGCACUACAUGAAUUAUGCGUAUUUGCUGAUAGUUGUAAGUUAUCAUGCAGCUGAUAAUAAAACACAAGCCAACAGACAUCAUUCACAUCAUGUAACAAGUAGUUUAGUCCCCACUCUGAAGUAUAUAUUUAUAAAAAGAAGCAAGCAAAGUUCUAAAGCAAAUACCUUCCAGCAAGCAACUGAGCAGUACUGACAGGCCCUUUUGAAUUACCAAACCGCUUCGCCCUAUUCUCAUGUUCUUUCUCUACACGCAUGGCAGCAACUUCCUUCUCCAUGGCAGCUACUUCUCUUCUCAUCUUCUUUGCCUCAACUUCCAUUGCUUUAGUUAAUGUUUCUACCUUCUUCGCUAACAUCUCAAUUGCAUCAUCCUUAUCUUUGAGGCUUUGAUCUUUUUCAUGGCCAGCUUUCCUCAAAGCUAUGACCUCUUUUUGCAGCAAAUCAUACAAUACCGCUGGAACACUAUCCUCUGUCUCUGCUGCUGGGAACUCAUUGGGCUUCUCAUCAGGAUUUCCUUUCCAAGAAUUAGGUGCCUCAGCAUCUUUGGUUCCAUCACAAGGUUGGUUGAAUGAACGAUUGGUGCUGGUGCCAUUUAGGAGCACCCGACUACCCCUAUCAAGUGAUCUUGUGCCUCCAUCAAAUGACUUUGAUGUUCCUUUAGCAUUCUUAAGCACUGAACUGGUACUAGAGGACAGGGAAGAUCUCAGCUGAGAUGUUGGCAUUCUCUUGGACAAAAAGCCAUUGGAGGUCAAUCUUGAGAUGUUAUCAGCCCCACCAAGGGACUGACGUCGAGUAGGCCCAUUGCUUACACUUCUUCCCUCUGGUGUACUCCUAUUACUACUUGAACCUCUCAAGCUUUCUUCUAGCACUUUGAGCCUCAACUGAUAUUUCUCUUUCAACUGUGCUUCAGACUUUGCAGCUCGCUCAGUAAUAGCAAGCUUGUCACGAAGUUGCUGCAUUUCUCCCUGCAAAAAUCGGCGUUCUUCAAGCCAUUGUUUGACAGGCAUAACUUUGUCAUUUGCAUCUUUCCACUCAUUUGCCACCACUGUGGCCACUCUGUUUGCGGUUACUUUUGCACGGGCCAGCUCCCUGUCAAGAGUUUUUCUUUCCUCAUUCAUCUCCUGAACUUUCCGUUGGUAAUCCCUCACAGCAUUCGCUGCUGCACCACCAGCAAGAACUGCCUCUUCCAGUUCUCUUACAGUCUGGGUAAGCUUUUCAACCUCCGCAACCUUUUGUCUAUGCAUUUUGUCUAAAAUUUUAUUUUCUUCCUGACAAAUUUCUAUCUGUUUCAUUAGCUCCUGGUUCUUAUUUUGGAGAUCAUCCACCAUAGAAGCCUUAGCCAAUGCAACUUGAACAGUCCUCUCAGCUUCAAGUAAAGCUGCUUCUUUUGAUUUUGUUAGACGAUCCAAUGCUUUGUUGUCAUCUUGAAGCUUUGUGAUCUCUUGACGAGCAAGCUUAAGCUCAGCCUCCAAAGGUGCAAGAAUGGCUUCAAUGGGAGGCAUAUCAUCAUCCUUCUGAGCAGCAUGAACUCUACGAAGAGUUGCUUCAGCUGCAAACUGUGCUGCCAUGGAAGCCUUCUUCUCAUCAUUGAUUUUCUUGAUUUCAAGAUUUUUGCUUUCUAGAAGAGAUUCUGCUAACUUGAGCUUUUCCUCCACCUUCGAGAGUUCUUCAGUGAGCUUCAGCAGGAAGGGAGAAAAGCAAACUCAGCAAUAUUCUAAACCACAUAGUUGUCAAAAUGAAUGAAAUGAAUCAAAAGCGUAUGAUAUUAAAUAAAAUACUGCAUGCCAAAAUUUAGACAUUCCAAAAGACCCUCAUGUUAAAAUUGCCCGCGCGGGCGCGCACACAUAAAUAACCCUGUGAAACUUCUGUUCUGUGAGAAUCAAAAGCCACAAUAAUAUAUCGAAAUUACAUCACAAAAAAAAACAACAAAUUAGGAACUAAUAAUUAGUAAGACUGAAAACCUUUCUUCUGUUCUUGCAAAUAAUCGAAAUAGAAUAUGGGCCAAUAGACAGGGGUAUAAAAAAGGAGAAGAAUAAACCAGGAGAUAGUUCCUGGGAAAUAUCAAUGCUGUUAGUUGUGAUGGCUCAUCACUAAUACUGUAAGAUUAACAAGCAAUGAUGAUGAAGAAAUAAAGAAAAAGGAUCAGACAGCUGAUUUGGGCAGUGUAGUUGUAGGGAAUACCAUCCCAACAAUAACCAAAAAACAAGUCCCUAUUCGUUUUCACCAACUUGGAGGAGCAUUCAUUUGUAAUCGGUGCUGUUAACAUUACAUCGUAGACCGGUGCUAGGAUCUACGUUUCCAACUAAGAGAAGAAAAUUCAUAGACAAGAUCCUAUAAGUCAAAAAUGCCAAACUCAAUCGACUUCAAAGCUUAACAUUUAAUCAAGAAGCAUUAGCAAUGAUCAACCAUAAGUUGAUAUCUAAGGGAUAAUCAAAUUCACUUGCAAAGGGGGAAAGAUUAACUCACGAAUGCCAAUGAAAGUGAAAAUCAUCGAUCAAUAACAUAAAAAGGAGCCCGAUUUGUAAAUGGAAAACUCUCUAAAAUGGGAAACCCUGGAAAAAACAGAGUAGAAGUAGAGAGAGAGAGAGAGAUGACCUCUUCAACUG